rnacentral:rRNA from 1 species
CCUACGGGGGGCAGCAGUAGGGAAUCUUCCGCAAUGGACGAAAGUCUGACGGAGCAACGCCGCGUGAGCGAAGAAGGUCUUCGGAUCGUAAAGCUCUGUUGUUAGGGAAGAACAAGUACCGGAGUAACUGUCGGUACCUUGACGGUACCUAACCAGAAAGCCACGGCUAACUACGUGCCAGCAGCCGCGGUAAUACGUAGGUGGCAAGCGUUGUCCGGAAUCAUUGGGCGUAAAGCGCGCGCAGGCGGUCCUUUAAGUCUGAUGUGAAAUCUUGCGGCUCAACCGUAAGCGGUCAUUGGAAACUGGGGGACUUGAGUGCAGGAGAGGAAAGCGGAAUUCCAUGUGUAGCGGUGAAAUGCGUAGAGAUAUGGAGGAACACCAGUGGCGAAGGCGGCUUUCUGGCCUGUAACUGACGCUGAGGCGCGAAAGCGU